UCUCUUCGGGUGUGUGCAGCUAGGCAUCUCCAGGCUCCGACCCGGCAAGCAGAGAGAGUUGUCUUCCCUGAUAUCCCGCCCUCGAAAGGCGGCGGAGGCCUCCGGUAUCCCGCCUGGGGCUGGUGGUGGUGGGAACGGGAGCAGAGCGGUCUCGGCCCCACGCAGCCCGCAUUCCAGCAGAGUGUACACCGAGUCUGAACAGACACUGCAAACCAGGAAUGCUCUGUGCAUCCAUUUUGCCUGUGGGCGUCCCGAUGUGAGUGCCAGAGCAGCCCGCGCACUCUUGGCUGCGAUUCUGGAGCCCGGCAGGGUAGGAAACAGUGAAAGCUGGUGGGAUGCGGAUUGUGCAGAAACACCCACACAACUCAGAUGCCAAAGAGGAAAAAGAUAAGGAUGUCCAAGACAGGGAAACCAGCAGCUUUUAUUGCUGAGCAGAUGGUAUGGAAUAUUCCCUUGGUCAGUUGGGGUCAGCUGUCCUGGCUGUGUCCCCUCCCAAGAUCAUGUCUACCCACUGCUUGCAGGUCCCUUGGGCUAUUGUGUCAGUGGAAGCAGCCCUGAAGGAGUGAACUGGUACUCUGUAAAAGCAUCUGUCUUCUAUAUAUCCUCUUCUUGGACAGAAUUCAAAUUUCUCCCACCGUAUUUCUAUCUACCUUUAUUUUCCCCUCUUUCUGUGGCCUGAUUCUGUUACCUCUGUGAUUACCUCUGUGAACUGAUAUGGUUGCACAAAAGAGGUUAUGUUCAUAGAUUGUAUUGUCAUUUUACACUUGACCAUGUAAAAAAUGAAAUUUGAUUAAAUGUAUGGAUAUAAUGGA